UACGUAGGUGGCGAGCGUUGUCCGGAUUUACUGGGCGUAAAGGGCUUGUAGGCGGUCCGCUAAGUCUGGUGUGAAAUCUCCCGGCUCAACUGGGAGGGGUCAUCGGAUACUGGCGGACUUGAGGGGGGUAGAGGAAAGCAGAAUUCCUGGUGUAGCGGUGAAAUGCGUAGAGAUCCGGAGGAACACCAGUGGCGAAGGCGACACGCUGGGCCGUACCUGACACUGAUACGCGACAGCAUGGGGAGCGAACGGG
rnacentral:rRNA from 1 species